UCAAAAGAAAAAAAAAAAAACAUCCUUACCUGCAAGCCAUCAAGAGUUCAUAUCUUAAGCCUAAGCCGCCCAGUUCUCCUUGCUUGGAGUCCUGCAAACAGAUGCCUUCCUCCAUCGCUGCAGAGCCUCAGUGUGGACAUCUGGUGUUAUUGCGCCAGGCUGUUUCUCUUGGAGGUGGGGCAGGAGGGUGAGGACAGCACUUCCCAGGAGCAGACAGCUGGAGGCUGUUCCCGAGGUCAUGUCCUUAGAGGAGAAGUCAGAGUCCAGCAGCCACCGGCACCAAGGCAGGUUUUUGGAGACAGAGAGAGAUUGGCUGCAUUGUAUCUGCGUCAUUGACCGUUCUGGUGGAGGUUCGCGUGGCCAGGGAGUCUGAGUGCAGCCCCGAUGCGUGCUUCAUUCAUGCCAAUCUAAUCCACCUGCAGUUUCCUGCUAGCUGUGUCUCGAGGAGCCCUCUAGCCACCAGACGUGUCUUUAAUGCCUAUAAAGUCCAGUUCGGAGGAGGAAACAUGUUAUCAGGCUGUGCUGACGAAGCGAGUAGCAGCUCUGGAGCCAUCAGCCACCAACCAUCUCAUCUCAGCCCAGGGCAUGCUGGGAGAGGCCAGGAAAAGUCACUUCUCUUCUUUGCUUUCACUGUCUUUUCUGUGGCCUCAAAGUCUUCAAAGGGGAGACCUGGUGUUCUCAGCACUGCUCAGCCUCCACGAAGCCCUCCUUCUCAUGGCCCGAGGGCUCCACCUCCACAUAGGUGGAAUGAUCCGCAUGGCUGCGAAACUUCAUGGCUGGCCAGUGGUGAGGUCUCCGCUGGAGUAGGCACAGAGGCAAAGUCAGUGGGCAUGACCCUCCCCAUGGGCCCCCACACUCCUGAGCAGCAAAGCCAAGACUCUCUCUUACAAGGGUCCUUGGGGCCUACUAGGAGCCAGACAACUGACCUUCAGGGACCCUCUCCCUAAAACGUGCCCUGCUGUGAUCCCCCAACCACUGGGAAACCUGCCGGAAGCUACGGUGUGGAAGGGCACUUUAUCCUUCACUGCGUGGUCUGCAGAACUCACAGCUAAAAGCUUCAGAAAUAUACCAAGUGGCGACCGGGGACUGCAAAGUGAGGAAUUGGCUCAGAGGCGGCUGGAAUGACGCUGAGACUCUGGAAAUGCCAGGAUAACCCUCCAGGAGACGCUGACGCAGACGCAGACAGCAGCCCUGCGGUCACACGGACCUCGAUGAAGAAGAGCGCAGCAUUGGACGUGGGGUGGCCGCUGAUGUAGAUCCCAGCCAGGAUGAUGGCCGCCACAAGGAAGACUGCCAGCACGAUGCCCACGAUGGUGCCCAGGUGCACAGGGGUGCCCUUCGUCUUGGGGGACAGCUUGUUCUCAAGGCCUGUGGAGAGAGCAUUAGGGCGGGCAGGGGCUGCAGGGGAGCAGGGAAGGUCGAACCGUGGGGUCUUGGGUUCUAACAAAGUCUCAGAAAUGAAAGCCUACAGAGCCUUUGGGUCUACUCAUCAAAUACAGGAAAAGGUUGAGCAGGAGCUGGAAUCAUUAUGAGUAAGGCAUUCACUUUGUUCUUGGCACCAUCUGGGUAGUUUUCCAAAAUCACCUACAAGUUGCCCAGAUGUCUAGUAAGUAUCAUAAGAGAAGUCCUCUCUGAUAUCUGUGCUACCACAGAAGCGCUAUUAAGGAAUUCACAGAGGGCAUGUGAGGGUUAAGAGUUUGGGAUCUGAAAUCUGGCUGCCUGGGUUGAAAUCUGUGCUGUGCCACAUACUAGCUGUGUGGCCUUGUGCAAAUUAUAUAACCUCUCUGUGUCUUCAUUAUGACUUCUGUAGAACAAGGAUAAUAAUACCCACUGAAUGGGGUUAUUGAGAGGGUUAAAAUGAGAUGAUUCAUGUCAAGCCCUGAGGACUAUGUCUCCCAGUUUGGAUAACUUCAAUAAAUGUUAAUAGAGAGCAAGUGACCAUGGUUUUCCCUAUCCC